GCGGCGUCUUCCUCCUCUGCGCCCUCGGCCCCUCUUGCCCUGUGCACCACUCUUGCUCGUCCGCCCCUCCCUCGUCGCGUUCCCGAGCCUCCCCGUGACCGCUGAGCUUGCUAGAGCUUUGGCCGAGCUUGAGCGGCGGCAACCGGCUUGGCCUCCCUCGCCCCUCCUAUAUAUAGCCCUCCUCACGGCCUCCCGAGCUCACAAUCAACCUGACCACACUCCUCUGACCCCGCCCCACCUCUUUCCCGAGCACCGGAGCCCUCUGCUCGUCCUCCGUCCGCCAUGGCCGCCGCGGUGCUCCGGCUAAAUUCGGAUGAGCCGAGCCCCCUCACUCCAUUCUGCCGCCACCAUCCUCUUCCCCACUCCUCGGUGCACCUCUUCCACCCCUCGCCCGCUCGCCGGAGUAGCGGAAGCCUUCGUCUUCAAGUCCAACUGCCGCCGGCGCCGCCUCUGUUCCCCUCUCCUCGCGGUCGUCCCACCCCUCCCCGGUGCCGGCUGACCUUGGGGACGGGUGCGGCCGGUCCUCCCGAGCCCACCGGUGGCGUCACCCUCGCCGGAGACGGCCGGAGCUGGCCGGCCCAUCGCCGGUGACGCGACCUCCCCUGCCUCCUCUGUUCCGUGCAGGAGCAGGAUGAGGAAGAAGAAGACAGAGGCCAGGUGGGCCCUCUUCUCCUCGCGGGCCCCGCGUGGCAGCCUCAGCUCCGUUGACCCAGCAAGGAAUACGUUUUCCAGAGGAGAAGGCGUAUUCCUGAGAUGUGCACGUUCUGUUUUUCCGGCUGAGGGCCUGUUUGUGAUGAUUUUAUUACAGAUAGGUCCCUAGUAGAAAAACAACUAUAACUUUUCAACCACAACUCCGAAUGAGCCCCUCCGAGAGAGAAUGUUUUCUGGCCAAUCUUUCCGUGAUCGUUUCACACUGCUUCCCAGAGUAUUCUCCAUCCCCAGGCAAGCCACAACCACCAUUUGCAUGAUAGCCAUGAAGUAGCAUUGGUUUUUAACUUGAAUCUUUAAUAACUGUAUGUUUGUUUUGCUACUGCUGUCGUUAUUUCGGUUAUGUUUAUGGACCGGUGGUUACCGUCUUGCUAUGUUUUCUUACACUCUGUUAUCAUGUUCUACUUGCUAGUAUUACUUUCAUAUUGUUCAUGCUUGAUAGCAGUACAUGUUGGGUUGUUCAUGUUCUUCGGUGCAUGACUGACGUUGGUUACCGAGUACCGUUAAUAUGUAUUGUUCCUUGUUGUCAGUUAGUUAAGUGUUUACUCGGUUAUAUGAUUGAUGUGUUCUUGCAUGGUACUUAUUGUUGAUGAUAAUGGUCAUGUUAUGCUAUGAGUAGUGUUGUACUUGUAAUAUUAAUGCUCAUCAUUAUGCCAUGCUCAGUUGGAUAUGAUUCAUU